rnacentral:rRNA from 1 species
UUUAUUAAAGGGCUGCAGUAAUUUGACUGUACAAAGGUAGCAUAAUCAUUAGUCAUUUAAUUGGUGACUUGUAUGAAAGAUUGGAUGAAAUAUAAACUGUCUUUAUAUUAUAAUUUAGAAUUUAAUUUUUUAAUUAAAAAGUUAAAAUAAAUUAAAAAGACGAGAAGACCCUAUAGAGUUUUAUAAAUAUUAAAAUUGAGAUUAUUUAUAAAAUUAAAAUUUAAAUUAUAAAUAUUUAUUUCAUUGGGGUGAUGAGAAAAUAUAAUAAACUUUUUUUAUAAUUUAACAUAAAUAAGUGAAUUUUUGAUCCAAUAUUAUUGAUUAUAAGAAAAAAUUACCUUAGGGAUAACAGCGUAAUUUUUUUUUUUAGUUCAUAUAAAAAAAAGAGUUUGCGACCUCGAUGUUGGAUUAAGAUAAAAUUUAAAUGAAGAAG